UCAAGUAAAUAAGAGCUUAUGGUGAAUACCUUGGUAUCUAGAAGCGAAGAAGGGCGUGACUACCAACGAAAUACUACGGGAAGCUGGAAGUAAGUUUUGAUCCGUAGGUUCCCGAAUAAGGAAACUUCAUGAACUUUUUUCUGAAUAUAUAAGAAAAAAAGAGCAAACCUAGCGAACUGAAACAUCUUAGUAGCUAGAGGAAAAGAAAGCAAAAGCGAUUCCCUUAGUAGCGGCGAGCGAAACGGGAACAGUCUAAACCAUUUAUUUUUAAAUGGGGUCGUGGGACAGUAUUAAAGAAUUUAUAGAAGUUAAGUGAAGUAGCUGGAAUGCUAUACUAUAAAGAGUGAAAGUCUCGUAACUGAAAACGAAAGUAAUCUUUCUGUAUCCCGAGUAGUAUGGGACACGUGAAACCCCGUAUGAAUCAGCGAGGACCACCUCGUAAGGCUAAAUAUUCCUAGAUAACCGAUAGUGAAACAGUACCGUGAGGGAAAGGUGAAAAGAACCCCGUGAGGGGAGUGAAAUAGAACAUGAAACCAUAAGCUUACAAGCAGUGGAAGGACGACUAAACGUUUGACCUCGUGCCUGUUGAAGAAUGAGCCGGCGACUUAUAGGUAGUGGCAGGUUAAAAUAUUGGAGCCACAGCGAAAGCGAGUCUGAUAAGGGCGUUUGUCACUAUUUAUAGACCCGAACCCGGAUGAUCUAGUCAUGACCAGGGUGAAGCUUAGGUAACACUGAGUGGAGGUCCGAACCGACUGAUGUUGAAAAAUCAGCGGAUGAGUUGUGAUUAGGGGUGAAAUGCCAAUCGAAUCCGGAGCUAGCUGGUUCUCCCCGAAAUGCGUUGAGGCGCAGCGGUUAAAUUUAAUAUUAGGGGUAAAGCACUGUUUCGGUGCGGGCUGCGAAAGUGGUACCAAAUCGAUGCAAACUCUGAAUACUAAUUGUAUAUUUAACCAGUGAGACAGUGGGGGAUAAGCUUCAUUGUCAAGAGGGAAACAGCCCAGACCACCAGCUAAGGCCCCAAAAUAAUUACUAAGUGAUAAAGGAGGUGGAAAUGCAUAGACAACCAGGAGGUUUGCUUAGAAGCAGCAAUCCUUUAAAGAGUGCGUAAUAGCUCACUGGUCAAGUGAAUCUGCGCCGAAAAUGAACGGGACUAAGUAGUUUGCCGAAGCUGUGGGAUUAUAUAUCGGUAGGGGAGCGUUCUGUAAUAGAUUGAAGCGUUAGCGAAAGCGGACGUAGACGAAACAGAAGUGAGAAUGUCGGCUUGAGUAGCGAAAACAUUGGUGAGAAUCCAAUGCCCCGAAAACCUAAGGUUUCCUCUGGAAGGUUCGUCCACGGAGGGUGAGUCAGGACCUAAGGCGAGGCUGAAAAGCGUAGUCGAUGGAUAACGAGUUAAUAUUCUUGUACCGUUUAUUAUUGGUAACGAAGGACGAAGAAGGCUAGACUAGCCGAAUUUUGGUUAUCGGUUUAAGUUUUCUAGGUUAUGAGAAGUGGAGAAAACACUUUGAGCUGAGAGACAAAUACAAGACACUACGGUGUUAAAGUAGUUAAUGUCACGCUUCCAAGAAAAGUUCGAUAUAUCUUAAAUAAUAAAUGCCUGUACCCUAAACCGACACAGGUAGGUAAGUAGAGUAUACUAAGGGGCGCGAGAUAACUCUCUCUAAGGAACUCGGCAAAAUGGCCCCGUAACUUCGGGAGAAGGGGUACCCUUGAGAAAGGGUUGCAAUAAAUAGGCCCAAGCGACUGUUUACCAAAAACACAGGUCUCCGCUAAGUCGUAAGAUGAUGUAUGGGGGCUGACGCCUGCCCAGUGCUGGAAGGUUAAGGAAGUUGGUUAGUCUAUGGCGAAGCUAGCGACCGAAGCCCCAGUGAACGGCGGCCGUAACUAUAACGGUCCUAAGGUAGCGAAAUUCCUUGUCGGGUAAGUUCCGACCCGCACGAAAGGCGUAACGAUUUGGGUACUGUCUCAGAGAGAGACUCGGCGAAAUAGACAUGUCUGUGAAGAUGCGGACUACCUGCACCUGGACAGAAAGACCCUAUGAAGCUUUACUGUAGCUUGAGAUUGGGUUCGGGCUUUUUUUGCGCAGAAUAGGUGGGAGGCUACGAAAGUAUUCUUGCGGGAAUGCUAGAGCCAUCAGUGAGAUACCACUCUAAGAAAGCUAGAAUUCUAACCUU
rnacentral:rRNA from 1 species